UACACAUCAAGUCGACGGCAGCACGGGGGCAACCCUGGUGGCGAGUGGCGAACGGGUGAGUAAUACAUCGGAACGUGUCCUGUAGUGGGGGAUAGCCCGGCGAAAGCCGGAUUAAUACCGCAUACGCUCUACGGAGGAAAGGGGGGGAUCUCAGGACCUCCCGCUACAGGGGCGGCCGAUGGCAGAUUAGCUAGUUGGUGGGGUAAAGGCCUACCAAGGCGACGAUCUGUAGCUGGUCUGAGAGGACGACCAGCCACACUGGGACUGAGACACGGCCCAGACUCCUACGGGAGGCAGCAGUGGGGAAUUUUGGACAAUGGGCGAAAGCCUGAUCCAGCAAUGCCGCGUGUGUGAAGAAGGCCUUCGGGUUGUAAAGCACUUUUGUCCGGAAAGAAAACCUCCGCCCUAAUAUGGUGGGGGGAUGACGGUACCGGAAGAAUAAGCACCGGCUAACUACGUGCCAGCAGCCGCGGUAAUACGUAGGGUGCAAGCGUUAAUCGGAAUUACUGGGCGUAAAGCGUGCGCAGGCGGUCCGCUAAGACAGAUGUGAAAUCCCCGGGCUUAACCUGGGAACUGCAUUUGUGACUGGCGGGCUAGAGUAUGGCAGAGGGGGGUAGAAUUCCACGUGUAGCAGUGAAAUGCGUAGAGAUGUGGAGGAAUACCGAUGGCGAAGGCAGCCCCCUGGGCCAAUACUGACGCUCAUGCACGAAAGCGUGGGGAGCAAACAGGAUUAGAUACCCUGGUAGUCCACGCCCUAAACGAUGUCAACUAGUUGUUGGGGAUUCAUUUCCUUAGUAACGUAGCUAACGCGUGAAGUGACCGCCUGG
rnacentral:rRNA from 1 species